rnacentral:tRNA from 1 species
ACUUGUGAUAAACAUUUGAUUUGAAAUCAAGUUAAUUGCUUUUGUUAGCAACAUAGGUU